UCCAUCUUUGUCAAUGUUGAGGAAAAGAUAAAGGUCUGAAGCAGUACUUCUAUAGUAUCAGUAGUAUCCUAAAUUUAAAGUUCACUAGGAUAUGUGAGAUGCAAGUACUCUGACUGAAAUAUGGGUGAUUCAGUGAUAGGAAAUCAUCAAUGUAUCUGAAAGUAAAUUAAAGAAUUUGGCAAUGUGCUUUUUCUUUUUUGUCUUUUAGAAGGUUCUGAAUGAAUUCUGCUUAAUAAGAGUACAAAAACAAAUGGGCCAGUAGGGGUACACAAUUAGUACCUAAUGGAAUGCAGACUGUCUGUUAAAUACCAAUCCUCCAAACUCAACAAAUACAUUGUCGAUCAAAAAGUCCAGUAUUUUGAUAAUAUCAUCUUCAGUGUAUUUUCCAUUAGAAUCAGUGUGAUUCUCAAUAAUUAUCAAAUCCUAAAACAAGAAUUUUAU
rnacentral:lncRNA from 1 species